GUCUAUGGUCAUGCCACCCUGAACUGCCCAAUCUUGUGUGAUCUUGGAAACUAAGCAAGUCAGACCUGGUUAGUACGUAUGUGGACACUCACGUACCUGUAAAUCCAUUAAAUCUGGAUU
rnacentral:rRNA from 1 species